AUUGAACGCUGGCGGCAGGCUUAACACAUGCAAGUCGAGCGGGGUGAUGGUGCUUGCACUAUCACUUAGCGGCGGACGGGUGUGUAAUGCUUAGGAAUCUGCCUAUUAGUGGGGGACAACAUCUCGAAAGGGAUGCUAAUACCGCAUACGUCCUACGGGAGAAAGCAGGGGAUCACUUGUGACCUUGCGCUAAUAGAUGAGCCUAAGUCGGAUUAGCUAGUUGGUGGGGUAAAGGCCUACCAAGGCGACGAUCUGUAGCGGGUCUGAGAGGAUGAUCCGCCACACUGGGACUGAGACACGGCCCAGACUCCUACGGGAGGCAGAAGUGGGGAAUAUUGGACAAUGGGGGGAACCCUGAUCCAGCCAUGCCGCGUGUGUGAAGAAGGCCUUAUGGUUGUAAAGCACUUUAAGCGAGGAGGAGGCUCUUUUGGUUAAUACCCAAGAUGAGUGGACGUUACUCGCAGAAUAAGCACCGGCUAACUCUGUGCCAGCCGCCGCAGUAA
rnacentral:rRNA from 1 species